GUUACCUUCAUGGAGUCCUGCAGUUUUGACAGUAUGUGUAGCAUGACCCUUUGUGCCAGGGGCAAUGCCAGCUGGGAGAGGGUUAGCAGUGCCCAGGGUGGGCCUGUUUCAGAUCACACCCAUCAGGGGGCGCUAGAGGCCAGAAUAGCCAUGCCUGGAUACAACUCUUCUCUCUACAACAAGACAAACCCUGUUCUUGAAAACAAGACCUCAAUCCAUCAAAAUG